UACAGCAGCCACUUUGCGACCUCCCA
rnacentral:piRNA from 1 species